rnacentral:rRNA from 1 species
UACGUAGGGGGCAAGCGUUAUCCGGAUUUACUGGGUGUAAAGGGAGCGUAGACGAACUGGCAAGUCUGAUGUGAAAGGCGGGGGCUCAACCCCUGGACUGCAUUGGAAACUGUUAGUCUUGAGUGCCGGAGAGGUAAGCGGAAUUCCUAGUGUAGCGGUGAAAUGCGUAGAUAUUAGGAGGAACACCAGUGGCGAAGGCGGCUUACUGGACGGUAACUGACGUUGAGGCUCGAAAGCGUGGGGAGCAAACAGG